rnacentral:tRNA from 1 species
UGGACGAUGGUGUAAUUGGCAACACAGCAGAUUUUGGUUCUGUUAUUCCUGGUUCGAGUCCAGGUCGUCCAG